UACGUAGGGUGCGAGCGUUAAUCGGAAUUACUGGGCGUAAAGCGUGCGCAGGCGGUUUUGUAAGCCAGAUGUGAAAUCCCCGGGCUUAACCUGGGAAUGGCAUUUGGGACUGCAAGGCUUGAGUGCGGCAGAGGAGACUGGAAUUCCUGGUGCAGCAGUGAAAUGCGUAGAUAUCAGGAGGAAUACCGAUGGCGAAGGCAGGUCUCUGGGCUGACACUGACGCUCAUGCACGAAAGCGUGGGGAGCAAACAGG
rnacentral:rRNA from 1 species